UUUACUUUGUAAUAAAAAAAAAUUGUAUUAAAAAAACCCUAGAAAAUCUCUCUACGCGUUUCUAGAACCAGAAUCCCCAAAAGUUCUCAUACAGGGUUCAACUAAAUGAAUCGUUUUGGGGACCGGAACCCCCAUGCUAGCGUGAUUGCUCUUUCUGUUUGGGAUUGACUGCUACUGUGGUUAGACACUUGGAAUAUAUUUUGUGGGUUUUGAUCUGGGUUUGGAAUUGCUUUGGAUUUGACGAUUCUUGAAGCUUUGACAAAUCUUGGGUGAUAAGUUUGGCUGUGUGUGGUGUGAGGUCAAAAGGGUUUUCUGUUCACUUAAUUGUAGAGCUUGGAAUUCGGGUUCUUUCCAUUUGAAUUGUUCCUUGAUUUUGUUAGUGUCAUUUUAGUUGUAAAGAGCUCAAGGAAAAUUGGGCAAUCUGAUUGGGUAUUUACUGAGAGUAAAAGGUUUUUUCCGUUGUGGAUUCAAGAGUUGUAAAGGGUUUAUAGGAAUUUAGUGUUUUUAAAAUUCAUUGGAGUUUAGCAACUUUAUAAUGAAACAAUGAUGGAAGGGUUUGCUUUUCAUUGAGAUUGAAACUUGAAGUGGAUAUUGAAGUUCGGUUAUAAAAAUAAUUUGAGUUUUGUCUUUUGGUGCUGAAACUAUUCAAGCAAAUUGAGAGUUUGCUGCAGGUGUUGAAUUUGGGGAAUUUGAUUAGAUUUUAAGGUUUGCAAUGGAUGAUGUUCAAGGCAGUUCAAAUUCACUUCCUCCUUUCCUUGCAAAAACAUAUGAUAUGGUAGACGAUCCAUCAACAAAUUCAGUUGUGUCCUGGAGUCCAUCUAACAAAAGCUUUGUUGUGUGGAAUCCACCAGAGUUUGCCAGGGAUCUGCUACCAAGAUUCUUUAAGCACAAUAACUUCUCAAGUUUUAUCAGACAGCUCAAUACAUAUGGUUUCAGAAAAGUUGAUCCUGAGCAAUGGGAAUUUGCAAAUGAGGAUUUUGUAAGAGGUCAGCCACAUCUUAUGAAGAAUAUCCACAGACGAAAGCCAGUUCAUAGUCAUUCUCUUCAGAAUGUACAAAACCAAGGAACUCAGUUAACUGAAUUGGAAAGACAGAGUUUAAAGGAAGAAAUUGAGAGAUUAAAAAAUGAUAAAGAAUUGCUUAUUUUGGACCUACAGAGGCACGAGCAGGAGCGGCAAGGAUUUGAAUUGCAAAUGCAGCUUUUGAAGGAGCGUUUUCAGCGUAUGGAACGGAGACAGCAGAAGAUGUUGUCUUCUGUGGCUAGAGCCUUGCAGAAACCAGGGGUUGCCUCAAAUCUUGGGUCACAGUUGGAAACUCAUGAUAGAAAGAGAAGACUUCCACGAAUAGGUUACUUUUACGAUGAGGGCAACAUUGGAGACAAUUUGCUGGGGACUUCCCAGACUGUAGCUAGAGAAAAUGCUGAGAGUACUAGUGCUUUGUCAUCAAACACAGAACAUUUUGAGCAUUUGGAAUCUUCCUUGACCUUUUGGGAGAAUAUUGUGCAUGAUGGUGGUGAAACUGCUCUUCCACUUAAUUCAAGCCUGGAGUUGGAUGAAUCUACAAGUGCAGAUAGUCCAGCCAUAUCUUGCAUACAGCUUAAUGUUGAUGUUCGGCCAAAAUCUCCUGGAAUUGACAUGAACUCUAAGCCUGUUGUAGCAGCUGCUUCUGAUCCUGCUGUGUCAAAGGAACCAGCAGCUGUGACAGCUGCUGCUGUCACAACUGGCGUCAAUGAUGUAUUUUGGGAACAGUUUUUGACAGAAAAUCCUGGUUCUACUGAAAUCCAGGAAGUUCAGUCAGAAAGAAGGGAUUCAGAUGGCAGGAAGAAUGAUAACAAACCUGUUGAUCAUGGCAGAUUUUGGUGGAAUAUGAGAAAUGUAAAUAGUCUUGCAGAACGGAUGGAGCAUCUAACUCCUGCGGAGAGAACUUGAUAUUGUUUGAUUGUUUUUUUUUCUUUUUCUGUUUUCCAGCUUUUGAUGCCUCAGUAUCAUCUUGCAUAAUAAAUUUAGAUUGAGCCGCUGAUAAGAUUGCUUCUGGGGUCGCCCAUGUUUUUGUCACUGUAGCACUAAAAUAUGAGUCACCAAUGGAACGUCAACCUCUAAACAAAGAUCAUUCUUAUAAUCUGAUGAUUUGCUUAUGCCAAGAGAUUCUCUAAUUUUACUUUUACACGUAACAAAACUGAAACUAUUCUAGUUGAUGAAAAGACAAGUGGCCCCGAAGUUGACUGUUUUGGGAGCUUUUUCAUUGCCAUAAUCUCGCCUCCAUCUCUGUCACCGUUUACCUACUAUUUAUGAAGAAGAUAUUGAUGAUGACAUCGGGGUUGGGUGGCUCGCAGGAAGCCUAGCACUUACUCAGAAAGUGCUGGGUAGUUAGGUUACAGAUAACACAACUACCUUCAAGCUUUCCGCCGCAAGCACAUGGGUUUUUUAUGCUAAAUUAUGUGGGCAACAGAUAUAGCCAAUGAGCUAUCCGUUAUCAAAUGCCACUUUUGGAAUGGAAUCUUGUGUAGCAUAUUAUAUCAGCAGCCGCGCUACGUGGCUACCACUGCACCAGUACAGAACCUGGCUAGCUCAAUCAGUGGAGGAUGUUCUCUUCAUAGUAGAUAUAGUCGCUUAGGAUUUGUGAAUAAUAUUUUACUUACGGAAGUAAAUAUUUCAAUUCAAUCCUGAUCAACUUAGUUAAAAGUUAACGUGUGCAAAAUUUAUCACAGGCCCGCUUCCAACAUUGGUAAAUACCAUAACUAUUGGUGUUGUGCCACAAAAUACAUACUGAUGUCAGCACCACUAAUCAGAGCUCGACAAGCACUUAAAGGCAAAGGGUAUUAGUUGUCAAAACUCAAAUCGUCUCGAAGAGAUAUUAUAUAACACUUGUCACACCUUUAUCAA